CUCGGAAUAUCCAGUAGAUCUGGGUCGACCAGUCUCUGGAUCUGUAGUUCAAAGGCACCAAUUAUAGAAGUUCCUAGGGUACUUCUAACCAAUCAACUUUCACGGAAAGGCUAUCCUCUCUUCUCUUGUCUUGCUGUUUUCUGGGGUCUUAACAGGAGGAACUUCACAGCUUUUUCCAAAAGAUGGAGAGUAAAAAAACUGGGCUCGUCCGGGAUUUGAACCCGGGACCUCUCGCACCCAAAGCGAGAAUCAUACCCCUAGACCAACGAGCCACGAGACUGAAAUCUCUCCUCACCCCACCCCACCCGCCAGCAAUGAGAUAAAAAGCAUCUGGUUAGUUCAGUAAUUACUACAGAUUCCACAAUUCACAUCGGAUUUCUAGGGUUUGUUAAUUUGGCUGCAUAAACGAAUGAGCUGCUGAGCCCACGAUUUUUCCAGUCUCAUAUGACCUACCUAGUGUACAGUACAGAUGGUCGGACAUGUCAGAAAAGUGGCUGACUUUCCAGGCAUGGUUAUGUUAGAGAGCACAAAGGGAAGUGCAGAAUUUACACGGUUUCCUUUUUCUCUUCCUUCCUUCCUUCCUUCCUUCCUUCCUUCCUUCCUUCCUUCCUUCCUUUCUUCCUUGAGGCUGGCCUCAAACUCAGAGAUCCACCUUCCUUUGCCUCACAAAUGCUGGGAUUAAAGACAUGCGCCACCACUGCCCAGCUCAUUUUUUCAAAAUGAUGAACAGGGUCUGGCAACGCAUGGUGUAGGCCUAUGAAUCUCAGCAUUCAGGAGGCUUACUGAAAAUCUGAGGUCAGCUUGAGUGAGCUACAGGCUGAGUUCCAGGCUACAGCCAGGACUACAGAACAAAAGGACCUCACUACCAACAGAAGAGAGCCACAGAGACUUAGAGGGGAAGCUCCUUAAGCAGGAAGAUAACUCAAAAGAGCUUCAGGAAGUCCCUGAAACUUAUCAGAUUCACUAGGCCCCUCCUGGCCCAAGUAAGCAAUAAGCUCUGAGAGUCCCUCUCAGAAGAGCAAAGCUAAACUGUAGAGAAGACCCGGACACCAGAGCAGCUGCUUAGAAGAAGCAGGAAGGAGAUGAAUGACUUGGAAUAUGUUACACCAAAUGAGGCACCUGGAAAGGACACCCUCCAACCUGUGGAGCUGCCUACAGGCUGUGAGCUGUCACCCAUGCUGGGUCUGUCUAGGAAAUACUGCUGCAGAAUCAUGGGCUGGAGAGAUGGCUCAGAGGUUAAGAGUACCGACUGCUCUUCCAGAGGUCCUGAGUUCAAUUCCCAGCAACCACAUGGUGGCUCACAAACAUCCAUUAUGAGAUCUGGUGCUUUCUU